GGCCGUUUGGUCUAGGGGUAUGAUUCCUGCUUCGGGUGCAGGAGGUCCCGGGUUCAAAUCCCGGAGCGCUUU
rnacentral:tRNA from 1 species